rnacentral:rRNA from 1 species
GAUGAACGCUGGCGGCGUGCUUAACACAUGCAAGUCGAACGGAAAGGCUCCUGCUUGCUGGGGUACUCGAGUGGCGAACGGGUGAGUAACACGUGGGUGAUCUGCCCUGCACUUCGGGAUAAGCCUGGGAAACUGGGUCUAAUACCGGAUAGGACGAUGGUCUGGAUGCCAUUGUGGAAAGAUUUUUCGGUGUGGGAUGAGCUCGCGGCCUAUCAGCUUGUUGGUGGGGUAGUGGCCUACCAAGGCGUCGACGGGUAGCCGGCCUGAGAGGGUGUACGGCCACAUUGGGACUGAGAUACGGCCCAGACUCCUACGGGAGGCAGCAGUGGGGAAUAUUGCACAAUGGGCGCAAGCCUGAUGCAGCGACGCCGCGUGGGGGAUGACGGCCUUCGGGUUGUAAACUCCUUUCGCUAGGGACGAAGCGCAAGUGACGGUACCUGGUGAAGAAGCACCGGCUAACUACGUG